rnacentral:tRNA from 1 species
GGGCUCAUGGUCUAGCUCGGUUAUGACAUUGCCUUUACACGGCAAAGCUCCAGGGUUCAAAUCCCUGUGAGCCCACCA